UGCCAGCCGCCGCGGUAAUACGGAGGGUGCAAGCGUUAAUCGGAAUUACUGGGCGUAAAGCGUGCGCAGGCGGUUUGCUAAGUCAGAUGUGAAAGCCCCGGGCUCAACCUGGGAACUGCAUUUGAUACUGGCAAACUAGAGUGUGGUAGAGGGGAGUGGAAUUCCUCAUGUAGCGGUGAAAUGCGUAGAUAUGAGGAGGAACACCAGUGGCGAAGGCGACUCCCUGGACCAACACUGACGCUCAGGUACGAAAGCGUGGGUAGCAAACAGGAUUAGAUA
rnacentral:rRNA from 1 species